CAGUAGCCGCGGUAAUACGUAGGUCCCGAGCGUUGUCCGGAUUUAUUGGGCGUAAAGCGUGCGCAGGCAGUUGUGUAAGACAGGUGUGAAAUCCCCGGGCUUAACCUGGGAACUGCGCUUGUGACUGCACAGCUAGAGUAUGGCAGAGGGGGGUGGAAUUCCACGUGUAGCAGUGAAAUGCGUAGAGAUGUGGAGGAACACCGAUGGCGAAGGCAGCCCCCUGGGCCAAUACUGACGCUCAUGCACGAAAGCGUGGGGAGCAAACAGGAUUAGAUACCCCGGUAGUCCCUGUCUCUUAUAC
rnacentral:rRNA from 1 species